UAGGGAAUCUUCGGCAAUGGGGGCAACCCUGACCGAGCAACGCCGCGUGAGUGAAGAAGGUUUUCGGAUCGUAAAGCUCUGUUGUAAGUCAAGAACGAGUGUGAGAGUGGAAAGUUCACACUGUGACGGUAGCUUACCAGAAAGGGACGGCUAACUACGUGCCAGCAGCCGCGGUAAUACGUAGGUCCCGAGCGUUGUCCGGAUUUAUUGGGCGUAAAGCGAGCGCAGGCGGUUUGAUAAGUCUGAAGUUAAAGGCUGUGGCUCAACCAUAGUUCGCUUUGGAAACUGUCAAACUUGAGUGCAGAAGGGGAGAGUGGAAUUCCAUGUGUGGCGGUGAAAUGCGUAGAUAUAUGGAGGAACACCGGUGGCGAAAGCGGCUCUCUGGUCUGUAACUGACGCUGAGGCUCGAAAGCGUGGGGAGCGAACAGGAUUAGAUACCCUGGUAGUCCACGCCGUAAACGAUGAGUGCUAGGUGUUGGAUCCUUUCCGGGAUUCAGUGCCGCAGCUAACGCAUUAAGCACUCCGCCUGGGGAGUACGACCGCAAGGUUG
rnacentral:rRNA from 1 species